CGGUACUCGUUAGAUAUCGGGGCCAUCCUGGGAUGUGCGUUUGUAUGUUAUUGCUGUAAGAGAUGAGUUAGGUAGCAUGCUCUAAUUGUAAUGGUCACAUUUUCUAACUGCUAAUUCACAGUUAUUUCCAUGCUAACAGACAAAUCACGAAUCUACAGCCAUCAAUAUAAUGUUGUCCUGCACAGCUAAUGUACUUCCUUGUGUCUAUCGUCAGCUCUCAGCUGUGCCUGCCUGUCAGGGACCAUGUCAUCUGAAGCAGGGCAGGCUAUAAGACACUUUCCGACCCCAGUCAACGGAAAUCAAUUGCUUUCCAUAGGAGAAAAAGGUCAACCCAGGACGCAACAGACCCAGAACAUUAUCAUCUGAGAGCCUCGGGAUGUCAUAUGAACGCAUUUUGUCCAUCCAAAGUUUGAGUGAGGUUGAGAACCCAUGGAAAAGCAUUACUCUGAACCGUUGCAUAGUGUUUGCCAUCAUCAUUGUGCUUGUGAGCUCAGGGGUGAAUGAAAUACAUGAUGCUCUGGAUGUACUUCUAGAGGAGAAGGAUCUUCCCCAGAUGUUCUUUGGAGGCACGGUUCUACAACCAGACGGCGUAGCUCAGCCUGCAGCCUCUCUGUGGGACAGCUUGCUGAGUUGGGGCUCAGACGAUGGAAGAAAAGGAAAUCCCAAGAGAAGAGGGGGAAUCUUGAGAAUCAGAAAUAGAGAUGUGUCUGACAAAGGGCUGUUAAAGGAAUGAUAGAGGGAAUACAUUAUGGAGAAUGGUAAAUGAGGGGCAAGAGGAGGAUAGUGAAACAAAAAAGGAAAACAUUUUCUGAAGGACUAAUCAAAGUGUGUUUAUUAUGUUGAAAUAUAAGGAUAUAUUGUAGUUAAAAUGUUACUACUGUAAAAAAAAAAAAAAAAAAAAGAUUUA